rnacentral:rRNA from 1 species
CCUACGGGAGGCUGCAGUGAGGGAUAUUGGUCAAUGGCCGUAAGGCUGAACCAGCCAAGUAGCGUGAGGGAAGACUGCCCUAUGGGUUGUAAACCUCUUUUAUGCGGGGAUAAAGGUGUCCAUGCGUGGAUGUUUGCAGGUACCGCAUGAAUAAGGACCGGCUAAUUCCGUGCCAGCAGCCGCGGUAAUACGGAAGGUGCGGGCGUUAUACGGAUUUAUUGGGUUUAAAGGGAGCGUAGGCCGGUCUUUAAGCGUGCCGUGAAAUUUUGUGGCUCAACCAUGGGAGUGCGGCGCGAACUGGAGGCCUUGAGUGCACGGAAGGCAGGCGGAAUUCGUGGUGUAGCGGUGAAAUGCUUAGAUAUCACGAAGAACCCCGAUGGCGAAGGCAGCCUGCCGCAGCGUUACUGACGCUGAAGCUCGAAAGCGCGGGGAUCGAACAGGAUUAGAUACCCUGGUAGUC